rnacentral:rRNA from 1 species
UACGGAGGGUGCAAGCGUUAUCCGGAUUCACUGGGUUUAAAGGGUGCGUAGGUGGGCAGGUAAGUCAGUGGUGAAAUCUCCGGGCUUAACCCGGAACUGCCGUUGAUACUAUCUGUCUUGAAUAUAGUGGAGGUGAGCGGAAUAUGUCAUGUAGCGGUGAAAUGCUUAGAUAUGACAUAGAACUCGAUUGCGAAGGCAGCUCGCUACGCUAUUAUUGACACUGAGGCACGAAAGCGUGGGGAUCAAACAGG